rnacentral:rRNA from 1 species
GACGAACGCUGGCGGCGUGCUUAACACAUGCAAGUCGAACGGAAAGGCCCUGCUUUUGUGGGGUGCCCGAGUGGCGAACGGGUGAGUAACACGUGAGUAACCUGCCCUUGACUUUGGGAUAACUUCAGGAAACUGGGGCUAAUACCGGAUAGGAGAUCCUGCUGCAUGGUGGGGGUUGGAAAGUUGCGGCGGUCGGGGAUGGACUGGCGGCUUACCAGCUUGUUGGUGGGGUAGUGGCUUACCAAGGCUUUGACGGGUAGCCGGCCUGGGAGGGUGACCGGCCACAUUGGUACUGAGAGACGGCCCAGACUCCUACGGGAGGCAGCGGGGGGGAAUAUUGCACAGUGGGCGGGAGCCUGAGGCGGCGGCGCCGCGUUCGGGAUGACGGCCUUCGGGGUAUAAACCGCUUUCGCCUGUGACGAAGCGUGAGUGACGGUAAUGAGUAAAGAAGCACCGGCUAACUACGUG